ensembl:lncRNA
GGGGACCACCAGACACCCUGGGCCAUGAGAAUAAAAGUCUUCUGGAUCUCUAAACCAUCAAUACUGAAUAGCUAAGACAUGACUUAAUUCCAAACCUGCCAGACGCUCUCUCCGUUUGACCUGAUUCAUUAUCAUCUCCCCCUCACAGUCUGUGAUCCAGUUUUAAUUCACUAAGUGCUGAUGUCUGUGUCAAUCUGAACUAAUGCUGUGCAUAAAAUUUGUCUGGGAAAGCAGUGCUUACCAAUUUUCAUGUGGCUGUCCAAAAAUACAGAGCAAUGGACACUUUGGAGUCAUGUUUUUCAAACACCCAUAUGGAUUGUCACUGAUGACGCAAAGUUAGUCAUGGAGUCUGAAGAGGGCUACCUGCAGGAUGAGCAGGCAGUGAUUUCUGCAAC